rnacentral:rRNA from 1 species
GACGAACGCUGGCGGCGUGCUUAACACAUGCAAGUCGAACGGAGCGAAUGAAAGCUUGCUUUUAUGAGCUUAGUGGCAAACGGGUGAGUAACACGUAGACAACCUGCCGACAGGAUGGGGACAACAUUCCGAAAGGAAUGCUAAUACCGAAUGAAGCGGAGGAGAGGCAUCUCUCUUCCGUGAAAGAUGGCCUCUGAACAUGCUAUCACCUGUCGAUGGGUCUGCGUCUGAUUAGCUAGUUGGUGAGGUAACGGCUCACCAAGGCGACGAUCAGUAGCCGGUCUGAGAGGAUGAACGGCCACAUUGGGACUGAGACACGGCCCAGACUCCUACGGGAGGCAGCAGUGGGGAAUCUUCCGCAAUGGGCGCAAGCCUGACGGAGCAACGCCGCGUGAGUGAAAGAAGGUCUUCGGAUCGU